ACCUACUUAACUCAGUGGUUAG
rnacentral:tRNA from 8 species